GUCCUGCAGGGCGACGAAGCUGCCGUAGCGGACGCUCAAGGCGUCCGUGGCGAGAAUGGGUUCGCUCAUCGGGUCGCCUCCGAUGCGGGUGC
rnacentral:tRNA from 1 species